GCUGUUUAAUACUUCUCCUGCUCCUGCCUUGCCAGCCGCACAUCUCGCUGCCUGGAGCUCUGCUGGGCAGGUUCUGCCGAGUGCGCUCUGCUUGCCAACAGCCCAGGGUAGCUCCCCCAAGUUUUCUUUCACUCAAGUGUGCUCUGACGUGGACGGAAUGGGCAACAGCUUCAGGAGGCCCAGGCACAAUGAAGAGCAGGCAGGAGACAUGCUACACAGCAGUUCCAACCAGGUGCUGACAAAGCAGCCUCAAGCUCAGCCUCCGGCCAGGGCCAGGAACCGGUCUCGAUACGCCAUCGGAUUCAUGGCAGUUGUGAGCAUCAUUGCCCUAGUUG